AUGAGCAAUGCUAAUUUAUUGUGAUGACACAGGAUGGAGUGCUGACUUGGGACAUCUGGGGUGCACCAGUCACUCCAAGCAGCCAAGAGAGGCAGUGCCUUAGGAAACCAGCUCCCUCGAAGAGGCUUUCAGCCAAGGACAUGUAGUUAAUGGAAGUGGCUGUUAGGCAGAUCAGAACCUAAUCUUGAAAUGGAUCAUAUCACUAUUUGGAAAUACAGAAAAGAAAAUGCUUAUAAAGGUUCCAUGGGAUGUAAGCUCCAUGACAGCAGGUGUCCAGUUGGGCUUCAAAAGCAUCUCUGGAUGCUGGGGAGAUCCACUGAAUUGCAAGAUCUUAUAAGACCUUGCAACAAUUUGGUGGAUGCAUCUUCUCUGCUGUGUCAACUCUGCCAUUGGUAGUUGAGUGAGUCCCCCACCCCUCCAGGCUGAUGGUGACCCUGGGAUCUAACAUGGAAGUGUCCUAAAAGGGUAAGAAGAGCAGACAGCUCAAGAAGGAGUGAAUCAGUGAGAGGAGCUGAGAAAGGAGAAGGGAAGGAGUGCCUGCCCCAUGAGCCAGGCUGGAGUCCCAUGGAGUGCCUGAGGCAGACUUGAGGGAUGGUGGUUAUGGAUUAAAUGGAAGAGGCUGUCAGGUUCCAGAACUCAGCACAUAAGCAGAUGUCAGGGACUGGGAGCUUGCCUGGCUUUGUCCUCUCCUCCUGGGCAUUGUGACUUCCUGCUAUCCAUGGCUGCCAGUCAGGCAGCUUCAUUCUCCACUGGAUCCAUGACUGCCAGCUUCCUGAUGCCACCUCAGGGACUGUGGUAAGGUGAUAUCAUUGAAUGGCUUCUGUUGACUCUUCCUACCCUUCUGACUUGUUAUGGUUAAGAUCUAGAAUGUCCCCCAAAAGUCUCGGGUGUUCAGAGGUGGGGCUUUUGGAAAGUGAUUGGAUCACAGGGGUGCUACACUCAUCAGUAGCUUGAUCCAUUACUGAGUUCAUAGCUGAAAGUACUGUUAGAAGGCAGGUCUUGCUUGGGAGAGAUAGGUCACUGGGGAUGUGUCUUUGGAGG
rnacentral:lncRNA from 1 species